rnacentral:tRNA from 1 species
GCCGAGAUAGCUCAGCUGGUAGAGCAAAGGACUGAAAAUCCUUGUGUCCCCGGUUCGAAUCCGGGUCUCGGCA